CGCUGCUCAGAGCAAAACCGCCGAAAGGCGGUGACGCAGAGCUUAGGGGACUACAGCGGCCCAAGGUCGCCAUGUCAGCCCGGCCGCCAGC
rnacentral:ncRNA from 1 species